rnacentral:hammerhead_ribozyme from 1 species
AUGCAGCUGACGAGUCCCAAAUAGAACGAAACGCGCAUCCUGGAU